GAGAAUCGUACAGGUUUCGUAGGUGACCUGCGGAAGGAUCAUUGUCGAUACCUGCAACAGCAGAACGACCCGCGAACCAUUGACACCGUGACUUGUGACUCUCGGGCGGCUCUUGUAAGCUCCCGAUUGAACAACAAACCCCCGGCGCGGCACGCGCCAAGGAUAUCACAGUGGAACAGACGGCUCGUCCCGGUGGCUGGCCCCCGGGACGACGUCGGCAUUCCGAAUUCUUGAACGACUCUCGGCAACGGAUAUCUCGGCUCUCGCAUCGAUGAAGAACGUAGCGAAAUGCGAUACUUGGUGUGAAUUGCAGAAUCCCGUGAACCAUCGAGUCUUUGAACGCAAGUUGCGCCCGAGGCCACCAGGUCGAGGGCACGUCUGCCUGGGCGUCACGUGACGCGCCACACCCAACCCCAAGCGGGAGGGGAGUGGAGAUUGGCCUCCCGCGACAGGCGCGCGGCUGGCUGAAAUGAUUCCCCAUGGUGUCCCGAACGACGCGAUCAGUGGUGGUUGACGAAACCCCUCCGCGAGCGAAUGACGCGAUCGGUCGGGGCUCAGGGGGGAACGCGGUACCCUCGUACGCACGAUCCACUCCGUGCGACCCCAGGUCAGGCGGGGCCACCCGCUGAGUUUAAGCAUAUCAAAAGCCG
rnacentral:rRNA from 1 species